GUUUUUCUUGAGGGAUGAUUCAAGGACGAUGAGUGUCAAACUGAUCUACAGCAUGCUGCUGUUAAAGUAAAUGGUUUACCUUUUCUGGCUCCUUCUCGGUGCUCCUCAGAGCUUUGAUGCCCAGAACAGCCGAGCUGAUGGUGACACAGAGCUCCAGGACCGACAGGAUGAUCAGCACUGCAUUGAUGCUCCUCAGGAGCAUC